AGCACGGUGGUUUAGUGGUUAGCAUGUGUGCCUCACACCUCCAGGGUUGGGGGUUUGAUUCCCACCGCGGCUC